UACGAAGGGAGCAAGCGUUAUUCGGAAUUACUGGGCGUAAAGAGCAUGUAGGUGGUUAUUUAAGUCAGUUGUUAAAGAUCACAGCCUAACUGUGGGACUGCGAUUGAAACUGGAUAGCUAGAGGAUAGGAGAGAGAAGUGGAAUUCUCGGAGUAGCGGUAAAAUGCGUAGAUCUCGAGAGGAACACCGAUGGCGAAGGCAGCUUCUUGGCCUAUACCUGACACUCAAGUGCGACAGCGUGGGGAGCAAACAGG
rnacentral:rRNA from 1 species